GGUGGGUUGGCUCAGUGGUUAGAGCGUAGGUCUCGUAACCGAGGUUGCGGGAUCGAAUCCCGCUAGAGGCUG
rnacentral:tRNA from 1 species